UUUCCGUGUGGGUGUUUGUUGCCACACGGUACUGGUUCGGUUUGGUUAUUUCACGUAUUCGUUUAUUGUUUUUGUAUUUCAAAGUGUUAGGUGCUUUUCUUAUUAAAAUCGUCAUGAACACUUACCACACCGCAUCUUGGUCCGAUCCUUACUCCUCUUCAGACGAAGAGGAGGAAAUCUGCCGUUACAGGAGCUCCACCAACGCUACCAGCUGAAACAAACGUUCUAUUUAAAUGAGGCGCUACAGAGCUGUGGAGGGGCUUUGAAGAAAUGUGCUCGGCACAAACAAGUAUGAAUGUGCAGACCAUGUUACUGGAACACCCCUCCACUCAAUAUUUACAAAAGCCACCAGACUGUCUCCCAUGUUCUCUGUAAAGGGAAAAUUGUUCAUGGCUUUUUCAGACUUUUGCCUCGGUUGACUAUAAACCUGUCUUGGCUUUAGCUGUAAUGCCACCCAGCUUGUUUUGAGUCCUUCAAUAAAUUCUGAUUUUGAUGUCCUGAAGUGAGAGGUAGUCUGCUAAAUCACCUCUGAGUAUGAACCGCCUAAGUCAAGGUGCCUUAUGGGAAAUGGAAAGAGCUUGUGGAGAACUCACAGCAGCGUCUCACAGUAAGAAAGGUCAGGAUGUUAUUCAGGCCAUAGGAGCACCUUAUCCAUUUCUCACUCACUCUAGUCUAGCUCCAUAAUGAUGCAUCCCUGGUGGGCUGCAUGAGUACUCGUUAGAGCAGGGCUGGGCAAACUUUUUGGCUUGAGGGCCACAGUGGGAUUUUGAAAUUCAACAUUCUUUGGGGACCGAUUUGUUUGUCAAAAUCAAUUUGCAGGCCAGAUAAAGGGCAGUUAUUUUUUUAAAUAUAUAGGUCCAUAAUUUCACAUAGUUUCUAUGAUAUAAGCAUGUGCAUUACGAUGGGAAGCAAUCAGGAACACAGGCUGGUCGACACCCACACAGGAGAUGUGCACUGCGAGGGACACUCCCUGUCACUGAGCAUUGAGCCAAUAGGAGUGGGAGCCUGCAGGUAACACUAAUACAGCUUAUUUGUACACAUUUAUGUUGGGUAAGUGGAACAAGGCAAAGAAUGGUGGCUAGAUUAAAAAGCCCUGAAUGACAGCGCUCGAGUGGUGUUGGAUUGAGAGGGAGCCUGGCAGGCUCUGAACGCCUGGGCCUCCAGGCAGAUGGUGAAGGCUGGGAUUACAUAACACCAGGUACAGCCAUAUGUCUCCAACACACGCAAACUACUUCAGGAAACCAUAGGUUUCACUCCCACUGCAGCCCAACUGAGACCAAAGGCCAGGUUUGAUGCACCCUGAUCCCAGACCAGGUGUUCAGCAAGUUGUUUCCUCAUGCUGUCAUAGUGAAGGCUGGCAGGAAGACAGACAAUGCUCCAGUGUAUGGAGAAGUCAAUGACCAUGACCACAAAGCAUUACAUCCAGGUGGAUAUUGUACAGGUGCUGUUUUGUACUGUGUUGAUGAAGUCUGGUGUACUGUAUAAACAAAUGGUGCAUAUUU